UAGAGACUUUCCCCAUCAGGAGUGUUGUCAGAGAAAGAGUGAGAAAGGUUAGACAGUCAUACAAGAAAAGCAUAGUGUAGACAAUAUGCCGAGUGUAAUAUAAUAUUUAAUUGUUAGAUAGAUCAUUUUUGUGUUUUUAUUACAGAUUAGGAAGGAGCUUGUACUGAAAAAUUCAUUAUCAGAUACUGUAAAUAUUAACAAUGACCCUUUGUAUCAAUGAAACUCAGUGCCUAUAACCAAACAUAAUAGCCUUAUGCUAAGAAUUGAAUUUAUGUGUUUUAAUUCUUUUUAUUUUCUUGACAGGGCAAAGCAGAAAUGUUGGUUGACUGGGAGCCCUGUCCAGUAUGUGGCAAGGAGUGGGCCCAUUCCUGGCAGCCAAAGGAUUCUCUCCAAAUGACUAAAAAUAAAUAAAAUGUACAAUUGUAAUCCA